UAAUCCCUGUCAACCCACAUCAUAUGGCUGCUGCUCUGUUAACUUCUCUGCUCUGCUGGAGAAAGUAGCUCAAAGACGCUUUUCAUCACUCUGGAUGUUUAAAGCAGGAGAAGGAAAAAAAAAACCUGAUAAUAAAAGGUAAAACGAAGUUUCACUGCAAUUCAGGAUUAUACUCCGCAAUUAAGAGACUGUGGUCAAAUAAGAGGAUUGCUGACUGUUGAAAUUGAAUGUUUUUCUGUGUUGCUUGAAAAGUAAAAAGUUAGGUGAAUGUAUAGCAUGAUGAUGGAAACAGACUUGCACUCCCCCGGACCCCAGACUAAUACCAAUUCGGGGCAAACGGGUCCAAAUAACGGGAGCAAAGUCAACCAAGAACGGGUAAAGAGGCCGAUGAAUGCGUUUAUGGUGUGGUCCCGGGGCCAGAGAAGGAAGAUGGCUCAGGAGAACCCCAAGAUGCACAACUCCGAAAUCAGCAAGAGACUGGGUGCAGAGUGGAAAGUGAUGUCUGAAGCUGAGAAGAGACCUUUCAUUGAUGAGGCUAAGAGGUUACGAGCCAUGCAUAUGAAGGAGCAUCCGGAUUACAAGUAUAGACCCAGAAGGAAGACCAAAACGCUGCUAAAAAAGGACAAAUAUUCCUUGGCCGGUGGUCUGCUUGGUGCUGGGCCAGGUGGUCCCGGUUCCGUUGGAGUCGGACUCGGGAUGGGUCAUGCUGGAAUCGGACAGAGGCUGGAAAGUCCCGGGGGUCACGGUGGCACUGCAAGCAGCGGCUAUGCGCACAUGAACGGCUGGGGAAAUGGUGCAUAUUCGGGCCCAGUGGCAGCGGCUGCUGCGGCUGCUGCCAUGAUGCAGGAGGCUCAGUUAGCUUACAGCCAGCACCCGGGCACUGGGACCCACCACCACCACGCUCACCACCACCAUCCCCACAACCCGCAGCCGAUGCACCGCUAUGACAUGACAGCCCUCCAGUACAGCCCCAUUUCGAACUCUCAGAGUUACAUGAGCGCCUCUCCGUCGGGAUAUGGGGCCAUCUCCUACACACAGCAUCAGAACUCGAGUGUCGCCUCGUCUGGGACCAUCGGAACCCUCGGAUCGCUGGUGAAGUCAGAGCCAAGUUAUCUAAAGAAAAAGACGCCCGUGUCAUGGUAGUGCACAGAGGGAAGGGGAUACAAGAUACGAACACCUGUUGAGUUAACGUUUUCGUCUAUUUUUUUGAAUCGGUUUGAAUGGCAAGCAGGGGUGGCUGCAGAAAGUCUCCUGUGAGGCGGUUAUAAUUGCAGCAUUUAAAAGUGAUCUGCAGCUCUUUCAAUUUGGUUCUAACUGACUGAGGUGGACUUCCAAUAUCUUUGGCUGAAGGAACACGAUCACUUCAUCUCGAAUGAGUAUCAAGCUGCAUGAUUUUUUUCCUCUGGAAAAUAACUGGACCAACAACAAUGGAUUGAAAUGGAAGGCAUACAUCCACACAGUGGUUUGUGCCUUGCUGAAUUCUGAGACAUGAAAAGGAUAGCGAACUCUGCAGCUCAUGGCACACAGUUGCCAACCCAUUAAAGUCUUUGUACCACGAAUAUUUGCAGGUAACAUCAGCAACCAGUCCUGUAGGAAUACGUAGAGUUGGUUAUGCAUAUGGUGAUGUGACUGUAUGGUAUUGUGGUGGUCAUAGACAUAUCUUUUAGGGUUCUGUGUUCUACAGUACAUAUAAUGGCAUAUAAGUAUUUAGACAGAAUGGACCAUCCAUUAGAACUGGAAAUAAUGAGUGGUUUUAACCAAUAAAGAUGAAUAAAAACAAUUGACAACAAGUAUUUCUGAAUGGGCAGAUGACUAUCUUUUUUAAUAUGUAUUUUUUAGCAACUAUAAAGUUACAUUUCAAUUCUGGUAAUUAUAUUGUUAGAUGUAUUUUUUUAUUUUUUUAUUUUUAUUUUUUUUAUUAUCGUAGACCAAUCAUUAAAUAGUACAUAUUAAGCAAAGAUUGACUACCUUUACUUAAAGUAAUAAACA